rnacentral:lncRNA from 1 species
UCUUACUCAAGCUGUGCAGAAAUGGAUGAAAGGAUGCAGAGGUUACCGUAACAAAACACAGUGGCCUGGGUGUAGACACUUCUUCCUGUGUUCGUACCUGCUGGAGAUACUUUCUUGAUGUGUUCUUACUUGUUGAG